AUUGAACGCUGGCGGCAGGCCUAACACAUGCAAGUCGAGCGGAUGAAGGGAGCUUGCUCCUGGAUUCAGCGGCGGACGGGUGAGUAAUGCCUAGGAAUCUGCCUGGUAGUGGGGGAUAACGUCCGGAAACGGGCGCUAAUACCGCAUACGUCCUGAGGGAGAAAGUGGGGGAUCUUCGGACCUCACGCUAUCAGAUGAGCCUAGGUCGGAUUAGCUAGUUGGUGGGGUAAAGGCCUACCAAGGCGACGAUCCGUAACUGGUCUGAGAGGAUGAUCAGUCACACUGGAACUGAGACACGGUCCAGACUCCUACGGGAGGCGGCAGUGGGGAAUAUUGGACAAUGGGCGAAAGCCUGAUCCAGCCAUGCCGCGUGUGUGAAGAAAGUCUUCGGAUUGUAAAGCACUUUAAGUUGGGAGGAAGGGCAGUAAGUUAAUACCUUGCUGUUUUGACGUUACCAACAGAAUAAGCACCGGCUAGCUUCGUG
rnacentral:rRNA from 1 species